rnacentral:rRNA from 1 species
GAAUAUUGGACAAUGGAGGCAACUCUGAUCCAGCCAUUCCGCGUGCAGGAUGAAGGCCCUCGGGUUGUAAACUGCUUUUGUACGGAACGAAAAAGCCCUCUCUAAUACAGAGGGUCCAUGACGGUACCGUAAGAAUAAGCCCCGGCCAACUACGUGCCAGCAGCCGCGGUAAUACGUAGGGUGCAAGCGUUAAUCGGAAUUACUGGGCGUAAAGCGUGCGCAGGCGGUGAUGUAAGACAGGUGUGAAAUCCCCGGGCUUAACCGGGGAACUGCAUUUGUGACUGCAUCGCUGGAGUGCGGCAGAGGGGGAUGGAAUUCCGCGUGUAGCAGUGAAAUGCGUAGAUAUGCGGAGGAACACCGAUGGCGAAGGCAAUCCCCUGGGCCUGCACUGACGCUCAUGCACGAAAGCGUGGGGAGCAAACAGG